rnacentral:sRNA from 1 species
GCCUGGCAGGGUGGUGCUCGCCUGUAAUUCCAGCUACUCAGGAGGCUGAGGCAGGAGGAUGGCAAAUCCGAGGCCAGCCUCCGCAACUUAGCGAGAGCCUGUCUCAA